GAUGAACGCUGGCGGCGUGCCUAAUACAUGCAAGUCGAACGCAUUGUGGUUGAAAUGAUAUGAAGAACUUGUUCAGAUUUGAUUUUCAACAUUGCAAUGAGUGGCGAACGGGUGAGUAACACGUGGGAAACCUACCUCUUAGCAGGGGAUAACAUUUGGAAACAAAUGCUAAUACCGUAUAAUAAUUAAAACCGCAUGGUUUUAGUUUAAAAGAUGGUCUUGCUAUCACUAAGAGAUGGUCCCGCGGUGUAUUAGUUAGUUGGUGAGGUAAUGGCUCACCAAGACAAUGAUACAUAGCCGAGUUGAGAGACUGACCGGCCACAAUGGGACUGAGACACGGCCCAUACUCCUACGGGAGCAGCAGUAGGAAGUCUUCCACAAUGGACGAAAGUCUGAUGGAGCAACGCCGCGUGUGUGAUGAAGGUUUCGGCUCGUAAAACACUAGUUGUAAGAGAAGAAUGACAUUGAGAGUAACUGUUCAAUGUGUGACGGUAU
rnacentral:rRNA from 1 species